rnacentral:rRNA from 1 species
GACGAACGCUGGCGGCGUGCUUAACACAUGCAAGUCGAACGGGCCUGUCUUCUUUUUUGGGGGUGGGUUGAGUGGCGAACGGGUGAGUAUCACGUGAGUAACCUGCCCUUCGGUCCUGGAUAACCGCUUGAAAGGGCGGCUAAUACGGGGUGGUCCGGUUGGUCCGCAUGGGCUGGUCGGGAUAGAUUCACUGUUUUUGGUGUUUCGGCGGGGGAUGGGCUCGCGGCCUAUCAGCUUGUUGGUGGGGUGAUGGCCUACCAAGGCGGUGACGGGUAGCCGGCCGGGGGGGGUGGGCGGCGACACUGGGACUGGGAUACGGCCCAGACUCCUGCGGGAGGCAGCAGUGGGGGGUAUUGCACAAUGGGCGGGAGCCUGAUGCAGCGACGUCGCGUGAGGGAUGGAGGCCUUCGGGUUGUGAACCUCUGUUUCCGGUGGUGAAGGCCCUGUCCGUGUGGUGGGGUUGACGGUAGCCGGGGAUGAAGCGCCGGCUAACUACGUG